rnacentral:sRNA from 1 species
UAUGAUGCUUGUGCUUUCAUGAAAAGUCAAAAAAGAUUCCCUGUGUUAAGUCGAAUAUUUGCUCACAUCAAACGUUUUACCAAUCUCAAUCACACUUGUCCCUAUAAGCAUGAUAUCAUUGUAAGGAACUUCAGCAUGGGCGGUCGACAACCAUCUUUUGGUAUACCCAGUGGUGAUUAUUAUGUGGAUACGGCAUAUAUAAUAAAUGGAAAACUUCGAUUUGCUGUGAAUUACGUGUUUAAAUAUCUAUGAUUUGAAUAAGAGUAAGGCCAAAUGGAAAUUCAUGCAUAAACAUUUCACAAAGAGGUUUAAUAAGCUGUAGCGGAUCGGAGAGGUAAUAUUUUCUUCAAGGGGAAAUAAUUGAUUGAUUUGUGUAUGGUAGAAAAAAAAAUUGUUAAUAAAGCUCUCAACUUGCUUA